rnacentral:rRNA from 1 species
UAGCAUAAUAAAUUGUUCUUUAAUUGGGAACUGGUAUGAAAGGUUCUACAAUCUAUAACUUUAUAAAUUUUAAUUUACGAAUUUUUAUUACAAGUAAAAAUACUUGUAUACUAUAAAGGGACGAUAAGACCCUAGAAGCUUUAGUUUUUAAAAAAUAAGAAGCAAUUAUAUUUAUAGUUCUUAUAUAAAAAAACUUUGAUUGGGGAAAUAGAAAUUUUAAAAAUAAUUUUAUUUAUAAUAAAUUUAUUAUCUUAUGAUCUUUUAAAUAAAAAAGGAAUGAAUUAGUUACUCUAGGGAUAACAGCGUAAUAAUUUUGGAUAGUCCACAUAUAUAAAAUUGAUUACGACCUCGAUGUUGAAUUAAAAUAUCUUUAUAAAGUAGAAAUUAUAAGAGAAAGUUUGUUCAACUUUUAAUUUUUU